GACGAACGCUGGCGGCGUGCCUAAUACAUGCAAGUAGGACGCAGUUGCGAACGGGUGAGUAACGCGUAGGUAACUGCCUCUUAGAGGGGGAUAACUAUUGGAAACGAUAGCUAAUACCGCAUACUAGUAGAUGGACCUGCGUUGUAUUAGCUAGUAGGUAGGGUAAUUGCCUACCUAGGCGAGGAUACAUAGCCGACCGGAGAGGGGGAUAGGCGAAACGGGGCAGGAGACACGGCCCAGAAUCCGACGGGAGGAAGCAGUAGGGAAUCUUCGGCAAGGGGGGGAACCCUGACCGAGCAACGCCGCGUGAGUGAAGAAGGUUUUCGGAUCGUAAAGCUCUGUUGUUAAGGAAGCGGUACUUAACCAGAAAGGGACGGCUAACGACGUGCCAGCAGCCGCGGUAAUAC
rnacentral:rRNA from 1 species